GAACACUAAUGUUUUCAGCUUAAACAUCUAGCAGCUAAUAACAACAAGUGACCUCAAAUGCUGACUUUCUGUUGUAACUGGAUGCAAAGCGAACUGUGAAAUUAGACUAAAGCUAAUACAGCAGUUUAAUGAGUUUAAAACGUAUCAGAAGACACUUUCCGAAGAAUGUUAUCCAAAGGAUCUUUAGUCCUAUGUACUAAAACUGUGACAGAGAGCUGAGUAGAACUGCCUACAGGCGGUCCUGAUUUUGAUCAAGAGUGUUCCAACACUGCAGCACCUCGUCCCAAUUUAUUAUUCUUUGAGCAUGAGCCUGCACAGUGAAUGCCAACUCUUGUAAAAAUGACUCACCUAACGUGGGAGGAGUGAGAAGUGGACUAACAUCUUCCAUUGUUUGGCCAACUGAAGUCCCAGUCGAUGGACCAGCUCUGGCUGGUCUCUAUCAUUACAUUAUCAACACUUCAACAGUAUGAGUCAUCACAAUCCAAAGCAAUCUCUUGAACUCGGAGAGUCAAAGAACAUCUUUGCGUGAUUGUGCAUACCUGAGAGAUCACGAGAUGGCAACACUGCAAAGGAGACAACUGCAUUGU